rnacentral:rRNA from 1 species
GUGCCAGCCGCCGCGGUAAUACGUAGGUGGCAAGCGUUGUCCGGAUUUAUUGGGCGUAAAGCGAGCGCAGGCGGUUCUUUAAGUCUGAUGUGAAAGCCCCCGGCUCAACCGGGGAGGGUCAUUGGAAACUGGGGAACUUGAGUGCAGAAGAGGAGAGUGGAAUUCCAUGUGUAGCGGUGAAAUGCGUAGAUAUAUGGAAGAACACCAGUGGCGAAAGCGGCUCUCUGGUCUGUAACUGACGCUGAGGUUCGAAAGCGUGGGUAGCAAACAGGAUUAGAUACCCUGGUAGUCCACGCUGUAAACGAUGAAUGCUAAGUGUUGGAGGUUUCCGCCCUUCAGUGCCGCAGCAAACGCAUUAAGCAUUCCGCCUGGGGAGUACGAUCGCAAGGUUGAAACUCAAAGGAAUU